UACAUGGAAAAAAAAUCACGGUCAUCAAUUAGGUGGCGAUAUGCACUAAGCAUGUAAACAACUAAUGAAUAAAAGAAGAAGAAAGAAACAGCUUGGCGCGCUUUUUCUUAGCGUCCGUUUCCAUAGUGACUCGUCGAUUCGUCGCUCUGUUGAGAAUGUCUUGAGUCUUAACCAGGAACAUACUCUGAGUUGAAUGAACUUACUCCCGGACGCAUUUUUGGAACCACAUACCUCGAGAAAGAGUGGAUGAACUUAAUAAAGAUCCAGUCUGCGUCAGUAGGAACUUGGUCCUUUCGUCACUUUGCUGAUUUACAAACAAGCCACAAUUCAUCGUGGGAUUUUCAGAAAGAUUAAAAGACGAUGUUGUGCCGACUAUAUCCAACAAUAAUGUCGCAAUACACAAGUAUGUGUGAUGGAGUUUGAAUCAAUGGAUUAUCUGUUGCUGUUGUCAUCCUUGGUGUUUGUUCAAGUCUUGGCAGUCUCAUCAAAACCUUUUAAGAGUCCUUAGAGUGCAUAAAAAAACAACCGCAUAUGGGGAAAAGUUCACGAACAUGGUUUAUUAAUGCAUUAAACUGUCUGGGGUCAAAUCCCCGAUUUGUUCUCAUUGUGAUGACAGGAAGAGUG
ensembl:lncRNA